UUUUUGAUUUGAUGCAAAUAUUGCAUAAAGAAAAUCUCUGAACUCCCGCAUGUUACUUGGACUUUCCAACAAUAGCCAAUAUUAAAAACCUUCAAUUUGACAAUUGCUGAAAAUUCUUUUCAAAUUUUCCUUCACUUCUUGUAUCUUUGA